AUCCAUGAGAAGACACAGUGUUCCAUCCAGAGGAUGUAGCAUCAAGGCGUCAUCUUAAAAGCAGAGAAUAGACUCUUACUUGACACUAGAUGCCAGUGCGUUGAUCUUGGACUUCCCAGCCUCCAGAACUAUUUAGUUCAGCCUGGUGUGGUUGCAUUUCAGAAUCUGUGAAAAAUGGAAUCACAAUGCUGUGACAGCAGCAUUUAUGCCUGUGGUAUCUGUGAAGCAGGUAAACAGCCCUGGGACAAAGAACAGACUACAGGUAUUGCCUUCUUAAUCAACAAUAAAGUAUUAGUUGGCUUCCAGGCAGACACCACUGACUUUCAAGAGAAAGGCAAGGGAGUAAGGAAGUAAAGAAUUCAGGGCAAACGUCAAGCUUUCCUCUGGGCUCCAAUGUAAAAGAAGUGGAUAGCGGCUGACUAGUGUACAUAUUAUGUAUGCAGACUUUGAAGGAAUCCCUCUUGUUUUUAGCUGUUCUUCCAUUGCUCCUGGAGACUCUGAGCUCAGAGAUUUUCUAGGCUCUGAUGGGCAGAGUGGCUCGUUUCCUCCCUGAAGUUUCCUUCAUGCUACAUUCUGGAUUACAACCUCCUCCAAAGAGUGUCAUCUUUCAAUAUAAUGUCAUCUCUUGA